UAUGUCUACCGUGGACCGGCAGGCGGGCAUGGACCAGCAUACGAUAUUUGCUUUUGUGACUCGUGAUCCUUUACCAAUUUCUACGUGAGUCAAUAACUUUAGCUCGAUAAAGAUAUGAAUAGUGACAAAACUAGCGAUAAGGAGGAUCCUCAGAAACAGCUAAAAAGAGGGAAAGGAGGCUUGCUAGACCCAGAGAAAGAUACAGGGCACAUAGGAGCAGCAGGAAGUGAAGAGACUCCAGAAGCCACACAGGCACGCUUGAAGCAAUACAUGCAGGCAUAGGCAUACAGAGUGAAUCCCGACAUGCCUCUAUUCGAACAAUCUGCUGUUCAAUCCAAGAUGCUGUUUAUAUCUGCAGUCAUGCCAAUAAUGUCCAUCUAUCGAUUACCACUUGGACAA